rnacentral:rRNA from 1 species
CGUAGGGUGCGAGCGUUAAUCGGAAUUACUGGGCGUAAAGCGUACGCAGGCGGCUUUGCAAGACAGGUGUGAAAUCCCCGGGCCUAACCUGGGAACUGCAUUUGUGACUGCAUGGCUAGAGUCUGUCAGAGGGGGGUGGAAUUCCACGUGUAGCAGUGAAAUGCGUAGAGAUGUGGAAGAACACCGAUGGCGAAGGCAGCCCCCUGGGAUGAGACUGACGCUCAUGUACGAAAGCGUGGGGAGCAAACAGGAUUAGAUACCCUGGUAGUCCACGCCCUAAACGAUGUCUACUAGUUGUCGGGGGGUAACUCCUUCGGUAACGCAGCUAACGCGUGAAGUAGACCGCCUGGGGAGUACGGUCGCAAGAUUA